rnacentral:rRNA from 1 species
AACGAACGCUGGCGGCGUGCCUAACACAUGCAAGUCGAGCGCGAAUGGAGCAAUCCUAGUAGAGCGGCGCACGGGUGCGUAACACGUGGAUAAUCUGCCUGGGUGUCUGGGAUAACCAGUCGAAAGACUGGCUAAUACCGGAUAAGACCACGGCCUCUUCGGAGGCUGUGAGAAAAGGUGGCCUCUGUAUACAAGCUAUCACAUCCAGAUGAGUCCGCGGCCCAUCAGCUAGUUGGCGGGGUAAUGGCCCACCAAGGCGACGACGGGUAGCUGGUCUGAGAGGACGAUCAGCCACACUGGAACUGAGACACGGUCCAGACUCCUACGGGAGGCAGCAGUGGGGAAUAAUUGCGCAAUGGACGAAAAGUCUGACGCAGCGACGCCGCGUGUGGGAUGACGGUCUUCGGAUU